rnacentral:tRNA from 1 species
AAUAUUGUGCCAGAAUAAAUUGGGUAACUUUGAUGAAGUUAAAAAUAGAGAUUCUCUCUUAAUAUUU